GCCGUCGUAGCUCAGUUGGUAGGGACAGCAGCACCGUUGUCUGCGUCUCCAAUAAAGAGCAUCCGGCUGUUAACCGGAAGGUCAUCGGUUCGAGCCCGAUCGACGGCGCCA
rnacentral:tRNA from 1 species